ACGCUGGCGGCGUGCCUAAUACAUGCAAGUAGAACGCUGAAGGAGGAGCUUGCUUCUCUGGAUGAGUUGCGAACGGGUGAGUAACGCGUAGGUAACCUGCCUGGUAGCGGGGGAUAACUAUUGGAAACGAUAGCUAAUACCGCAUAAUAGUAGAUGUUGCAUGACAUUUGCUUAAAAGGUGCAAUUGCAUCACUACCAGAUGGACCUGCGUUGUAUUAGCUAGUUGGUGGGGUAACGGCUCACCAAGGCGACGAUACAUAGCCGACCUGAGAGGGUGAUCGGCCACACUGGGACUGAGACACGGCCCAGACUCCUACGGGAGGCAGCAGUAGGGAAUCUUCGGCAAUGGACGGAAGUCUGACCGAGCAACGCCGCGUGAGUGAAGAAGGUUUUCGGAUCGUAAAGCUCUGUUGUAAGAGAAGAACGAGUGUGAGAGUGGAAAGUUCACACUGUGACGGUAUCUUACCAGAAAGGGACGGCUAACUACGUGCCAGCAGCCGCGGUAAUACGUAGGUCCCGAGCGUUGUCCGGAUUUAUUGGGCGUAAAGCGAGCGCAGGCGGUUAGAUAAGUCUGAAGUUAAAGGCUGUGGCCUAACCAUAGUACGCCUUGGAAACUGUUUAACUUGAGUGCAAGAGGGGAGAGUGGAAUUCCAUGUGUAGCGGUGAAAUGCGUAGAUAUAUGGAGGAACACCGGUGGCGAAAGCGGCUCUCUGGCUUGUAACUGACGCUGAGGCUCGAAAGCGUGGGGGAGCAAACAGGAUUAGAUACCCUGGUAGUCCACGCCGUAAACGAUGAGUGCUAGGUGUUAGACCCUUUCCGGGGUUAAGUGCCGCAGCUAACGCAUUAAGCACUCCGCCUGGGGAGUACGACCGCAAGGUUGAACUCAAAGGGAUUUGACGGGGGCCCGCACAAGCGG
rnacentral:rRNA from 1 species